GACGAACGCUGGCGGUGUGCUUAACACAUGCAAGUGGUGCGACGAACCAGAGCUUGCUCUGGGGCAAAGCCGCGAACGGGUGAGUAACACGUGGGUAAUCUACCCCGAUGACCGGGACAACCCGAGGAAACUCGGGCUAAUACCGGAUGUGGUGCGGAGACAUAAGUCUCUUCACUAAAGGUAGCUUCGGCUUCCGCAUUGGGAGGGGCCCGCGGCCCAUUAGCUUGUUGGUGGGGUCAAGGCCUACCAAGGCAACGAUGGGUAGCUGGUCUGAGAGGACGAUCAGCCACACUGGGACUGAGACACGGCCCAGGCUCCUACGGGAGGCAGCAGUGGGGAAUCUUGCGCAAUGCGCGAAAGCGGGACGCAGCAACACCGCGUGGGGGAAGGAGGCCUUAGGGGUGUAAACCUCUUUCAGAUGGGACGAAGGUUCUCCGGUGAAUAGCCGAGAGGAUUGACGGUACCGUCAGAAGAAGCUCCGGCUAACUACGUG
rnacentral:rRNA from 1 species